GACGAACGCUGGCGGCGUGCUUAACACAUGCAAGUCGAACGGUAAGGCCCUUCGGGGUACACGAGUGGCGAACGGGUGAGUAACACGUGGGUGAUCUGCCCUGCACUUCGGGAUAAGCCUGGGAAACUGGGUCUAAUACCGGCUAGGACCAAGCGCUUCACGGUGUGUGGUGGAAAGCUUUUGCGGUGGGGGAUGGACCCGCGGCCUAUCAGCUUGUUGGUGGGGUAAUGGCCUACCAAGGCGACGACGGGUAGCCGGCCUGAGAGGGUGACCGGCCACACUGGGACGGAGAUACGGGCCAUACUCCUACGGGAGGCAGCAGUGGGGAAUAUUGCGCAAUGGGCGCAAGCCUGAUGCAGCGACGCCGCGUGAGGGAUGACGGCCUUCGGGUUGUAAACCUCUUUCAGUAGGGACGAAGCGCAAGUGACGGUACCUACAGAAGAAGGACCGGCCAACUACGUGCCAGCCGCCGCCGUAA
rnacentral:rRNA from 1 species